rnacentral:rRNA from 1 species
UACGGAGGGUGCAAGCGUUUAUCCGGAUUUACUGGGUUUAAAGGGUGCGUAGGUGGGUUGGGAAGUCAGUGGUGAAAUACUUUCGCUUAACGAAGGAACUGCCAUUGAUACUAUCAAUCUUGAAUGUAGUGGAGGUAGGCGGAAUGCGUCAUGUAGCGGUGAAAUGCUUAGAUAUGACGCAGAACACCAAUUGCGAAGGCAGCUUGCUACACUACUAUUGACACUGAGGCACGAAAGCGUGGGGAUCAAACAGG